CGGAUAAGUCUUUACGGAGAAAGCUUUAUGCACCAUUGGAUGAGCCUGCACUUGAUUAGUUUGUUGGUAGGGUAAUGGCCUACCAAGACUUUGAUCAAUAGCUGAUUUGAGAGGAUGAUCAGCCACAUUGGGACUGAGACACGGCCCAAACUCCUACGGGAGGCAGCAGUGGGGAAUCUUGCACAAUGGAGGAAACUCUGAUGCAGCGAUGCCGCGUGAGUGAAGAAGGCCCUUGGGUUGUAAAGCUCUUUCGUCGGGGAAGAAAAUGACUGUACCCGAAUAAGAAGGUCCGGCUAACUUCGUGCCAGCAGCCGCGGUAAUACGAAGGGACCUAGCGUAGUUCGGAAUUACUGGGCUUAAAGAGUUCGUAGGUGGUUGAAAAAGUUGGUGGUGAAAUCCCAGAGCUUAACUCUGGAACUGCCAUCAAAACUUUUCAGCUAGAGUUUGAUAGAGGAAAGCAGAAUUUCUAGUGUAGAGGUGAAAUUCGUAGAUAUUAGAAAGAAUACCAAUUGCGAAGGCAGCUUUCUGGAUCAUUACUGACACUGAGGAACGAAAGCAUGGGUAGCGAAGAGGAUUAGAUACCCUCGUAGUCCAUGCCGUAAACGAUGUGUGUUAGACGUUGGAAAUUUAUUUUCAGUGUCGCAGCGAAAGCGAUAAACACACCGCCUGGGGAGUACGACCGCAAGGUUAAAACUCAAAUGAAUUGACGGGGACCCGCACAAGUAGUGGAGCAUGUGGUUUAAUUCGAAGAUACGCGCAGAACCUUACCAACACUUGACAUGUUCGUCGCGACUUUAAGAGAUUAAAGUUUUCGGUUCGGCCGGACGAAACACAGGUGCUGCAUGGCUGUCGUCAGCUCGUGUCGUGAGAUGU
rnacentral:rRNA from 1 species